UCUGGUAGUUAUGGCGAGAAGGUCACACCCGUUCCCAUCCCGAACACGGUAGUUAAGCUU
rnacentral:rRNA from 1 species